rnacentral:rRNA from 1 species
GGCUCAGGAUGAACGCUAGCGGCAGGCUUAACACAUGCAAGUCGAGGGGCAUCGGGAGUAGCAAUACUUGCCGGCGACCGGCGCAAGGGUGCGUAACGCGUGAGCAACAUGCCCGUAUCAGGGGGAUAAUCCAUGGAAACGUGGUCUAAUACCCCAUAGUAAUUAUGUAAGGCAUCUUAUAUAAUUUAAAGCUUUGGUGGAUACGGAUUGGCUCGCGUGACAUUAGCUAGAUGGUAAGGUAACGGCUUACCAUGGCUACGAUGUCUAGGGGUUCUGAGAGGAACGGUCCCCCCACACUGGAACUGAGACACGGUCCAGACUCCUACGGGAGGCAGCAGUGAGGAAUAUUGGACAAUGGAUGGAAAUCUGAUCCAGCCAUGCCGCGUGCAGGGAAAAGGACCGGCCCUAGUGGGUUAGUAAACUGUCUUUUGUAUGGGAGCAAGUAAGGGCUACGCGUAGUCCGAUGAGAGUACCAUACGAAUAAGCACCGGCUAACUCCGUGCCAGCCGCUGC